GCACUCCCGGGGCGUCUCUUUCUCAUCACGAGUGGAGGCGCACCCAGAGCGUACACGCUGAUACCCGAAAGAUGGUGAACUAUGCCUGGCCAGGACGAAGCCAGGGGAAACCCUGGUGGAGGUCCGCAGCGAUUCUGACGUGCAAAUCGAUCGUCGGAGCUGGGUAUAGGGGCGAAAGACCAAUCGAACCAUCUAGUAGCUGGUUCCCUCCGAAGUUUCCCUCAGGAUAGCUUGCGCUCACGUGAACGAGUCUCAUCCGGUAGAGCGAAUGAUUAGAGGCCUUGGGGUCGAAACGACCUCAACCUAUUCUCAAACUCCAAAUAGAUGAGAACUCCGGCUUUCUUGAAACUCUGUUUUGUGAAGCCGGGGGCUUGGAUCAGAGUGCCAAGUGGGCCAAUUUUGGUAAGCAGAACUGGCGCUGUGGGAUGAACCAAACGUCGAGUUAAGGCGCCUAAAUCGUCGCUCAUGUGAAACCAUGAAAGGCGUUGGUUGCUUAAGACAGCAG
rnacentral:rRNA from 1 species